CUUAACUGCACUGGCUUUGGUUGAGUUGUUUUAGGAUCACCAUGCGCUGCAUGCCGGGAUACACCUCCGUGUUGACACAAAAUGGUCGAGUAUGUUUUGUGACCCGGGAGUUUAAGCUGGCCAACAAGUUGUACCUUAUCAUUCGGCCCGCAGAACAUCUGUUCGAAUCGUAGAUAAUAGGAGAGUGCCUAAGAUAUGAGAGCAAGACUGUCGAAGGAAACCUGAUUCUGCCACAGACAGACACACAGUCCGCCCUGCAUGACUGGGACAGCACUCACAGACCGUUGCCUACAUCGGAGGACGUGAAAACAAGCCGAAUGAAGAGAGCGGCUGCAAAGCAUCUAAUUGAGCGCUACUUUGGCCAGUUAACAAAGGGCUGUGGAAAUGGGGCCUGCACGAAUGAGUUCUGUGCUUCGUGUCUUGGUUUUCAACCGCUGGAUCACAACGCGGCGGCCAUCAGAGCCCUGGACCUCUAUAAAAUUAACACCAAACUGUGUGACCUUCACCCCUCCACUGCCUUCCCUGACAACAACAGUGCCGAGGACACACAACCUGCCUUAUUGGGCGACUGCCACGGGAAGAUGACAGACAACCUGUUUCCCCCUAGGGAGGACU